AAAAGAAAGAAUAGAAAUGAGAAAGAAAGAAACAGAGAGCAAAACGAAACAGAGAAGGGAGAAAGAAGAAAAAGAAAGAGAGCGACGGUUCAGGGGUUUCAAAACUUCUAAAUUCAAUUGCUAAUGUCGUGCAAGAGUCAUUGUCCGAGAAAUGAAAGGAGAAGGUGGACAAGGAUUGACUCGAGAGAAAUUUCGGUUAGUAGGAAGCCAGUGCUCGGUCCAGCAUCCAGAGUAAUCCCGACCUCAGAGAAAUUUUGGUGAUGUACUUUUGUUUUGAUAAUAUGGCAUGUACCUAAGUGAUAUAUAGGUUAAGUAUAAGAGUUUUGUGAUUGUGGUUUUAGAACGAUGUUUAAAUUGGUUAUAAGUAUGAAAUGGAACUAAUAUGACAUAUUUGAUUAAAGUAUGCUAUGUCUGUUAUUUA